rfam:Candidatus Kaiserbacteria bacterium RIFCSPHIGHO2_02_FTLL_55_17 rifcsphigho2_02_scaffold_18201, whole genome shotgun sequence.
GCGGUCGUGGUGUAGCCUGGUUAACACGUCUCCCUGUCACGGAGAAGAUCGUGGGUUCAAAUCCCAUCGACCGCG